UAUCUCUGUAGAGUCUGCAUAUCAAUAAGCGGAGGAAAAGAAACUAACAAGGAUUCCCCUAGUAACGGCGAGUGAAGCGGGAAGAGCUCAAAUUUGAAAUCUUCAAGGGUUCUACCUUUACGAAUUGUAGUUUAUAAGAAGUGUUUUCUGUUAGUAGAGUGGUCAAAAGUUCUUUGGAAUAGGACAUCAUAGAGGGUGAGAAUCCCGUAGUUUGUACAUUCUUUCUAGCUUUGUGAUACACUUUCAACGAGUCGGAUUGUUUGGGAAUGCAGUCCAAAAUGGGUGGUAAAUUUCAUCUAAAGCUAAAUAUUGGCGAGAGACCGAUAGCGAACAAGUACCGUGAGGGAAAGAUGAAAAGAACUUUGAAAAGAGAGUUAAACAGUACGUGAAAUUGUCAAAAGGGAAGCGUUUGACACCAGUGUUGUUUUCUCGAAAAUCAAUUAAAAAUGGCGGGAUUUUGUGUUGUAUUGACUUUAUCAGCUUUCUGCACUUUUUUCCUGUCUUUUUUAAUGCACUUUUCGUUUAACAAGUCAACAUCAAUUUCUUUUGUUGUAAAAGGGUCAUUGGAAGGUGGCUUUCUUUUCGGAGAAAGUGUAUAUAGCCUUUGGCCUCUGCAAUCGGAGAGAUUGAGGUCUGCAGCGUAGAUCCUUCGGGGUUAGAUACAUUUGUGCUAAGCUAUAGCCUUUCAUAGACAACUUGUUGACUAUGAUCAGUCAUGUAGCUUACUCGCUUAUGCUAUUUUACCUACGCUUAGGAUGUUGAGUAGCGACAUACGCAC
rnacentral:rRNA from 1 species